UGUCAUUUGUGUCAUGUUGUAUUUUUGUAUUUUUUAUUUCUGUAUUUUUGUAUUUUUGACGUUUAUUUUUGUAUUUUGAAAAAAGUGUCCACGAGGUUUAUGGAUGGCCCCUUCUUUCCACAAAAAGGUAGUCGAAUUGUUUCCCCACCGGUACACUAUUAACUUUCUCUCGAAAGUCGACAUCUGAACGCACGAGGCUGCGUUUGUCCGAGACACAGGUUCCUUAGAAUUCCGGAACCCUCUCUCGCAACUGCAGCAGCCAACACACGUCCAUCACUAUUUUGCCUGAACGAACCUCAAAAGCUAUCUGCAAAGCCAUUCAUCCCUCCCCACUACUCCUCAGAAGAGGGGAAAAGAGGGAAAGAGAUACACUUUACUGUUGGAGUGCUGGUAACGGGGAAAAGGAUUUCCCGUAUCAGCGAUGGAGCGGUUUUUUUCUGAAUGAACCUGGGGAGAAGUGCUCGAUCAAAUCAAGAGGGCAGCAACCUUUGGCAGGAGGUGAGCUGCAAACACUCUUGCCUUAUCGGAAACAGCACUGCGGGAACUCGAACUGGAGAGUUUAACCAUUUGACCUGGUGAGAAGGCAGACUACCCGGUUGAUUAGUGAGAAAAGAGAAGCUUUUAUACCUCACGUUUGACGUUUGGAUUCUAGUGAUGGAAAUGCAUAUUGAGUACAGAUACUGCCUUAUCGACUUUCUUGUAUGAAAUUAUCAAUCUUGUCAAUCGGUAGAAUCGUUUUAUUUUCAGCUAGGUUUCAGCUUUAAACGAGUUCAAACGUAGUAAGCUACCAUAACUGGCUUAACUCAUGGGCUAUCUAAGCUGCAAACUGCGUUAUUGUUCACCCUCACCCCAGGACUAUAGUUCAACCUCUCAAAAUUUUGACUACCUUUUUGCUGUUUUGAGAAAUAACUGUUUCCCUCACUAGCGGCGUAUAUAAGGCUCCCCAAGCGAGUCUCCUGCGGGUAGUCUGUUUUAUACGAGAUCAAGCGGAUUGAGCCACCGGUACGGCUGCUAAAUCGGAAACCUGUGAUUACGGUUUCAAAACCAUCCCCCCAAUGCUGGUAUGGUACAAACCAAUAUCAAUUUCCAGCCUUUCUGACCCGCGCACAGGCAGAAACAAGUGAGAGAGGAGAAGAUCAAGAAGAAGCCCACACAACACAACAAAUACAAGAGGACGCUGCUGCACUUUUCGCUCGCACAUUGUGGCAUAAUUACUUCCUCCGAUGGGGACGCGCUUUGUCCUUGGCGGUACGAAGGAAUGUGCAACUUGUGCGAUUUAACAACUGUGAAGUCAUACUUUGUGACUCACGGAAUCGUAUCCUGAUUUGUAUAAAUAU